UGAACACUUUUGCCACAGUGCCAGCGCAAAUUGGACUACUCCAGCUUGAAAUUCUGCUGGAAUAAGGUGAUAAAUUUUUAGCUUUGGAAUUCCUCAGGGAUAAGCCAAUUUCUGUGUGGAAUUCUUUAGGGGUAAUGGAUAUUUUGAAUGAGAUUUUCUCAGGGGUCAAAUGUAAAAAUUGAAAUUCUUCCAGGGUCUCUCUUCAUGGGUAUUAACAGACAGGGUUUAUUUUAACAUGCAGAUCUACACAAAAUGUGCAGUUCUAAACCCAUUUGUGCAGUUCUUAAAACACAAAUGUGCAGUCACCAAACUAACAAAAAUAGCCUUAAUUAAAACAGUCUCCUCAUUUACUCGUUAAUACCUGGCCUUGUGGAUGCUCCAGAAAAUUCCAGAAAUGCUGUCAUUAAUUGAGCAUCAAAAAUAUAAACGAUUUCUGGGGGAGGACUCCAGACCCUCCUCUUUACCUAAAACACUUACGUGCUGGGGUAAUGGAAAAGAAGGUAAAAUUGGGGCGAGUGAAGCUCCCCAAAAGAUAUUUGAGUG